CACGAUUUCAAACGCACUGGUUAGGAGACAGUAAACGGGGGCAGUUGUUGAAGCGAGAAAUGGAGAAAGGGAGCUACGCUGCACGCAGGUUACGGCUGCCCGAAGUCUCAUCUCGCGUGCUCGCAGAAAUGUCGUGCGGAUCACAGUCAUACCGGCGGGUACUGCAGCGGACCCUAUGGAAUAGUCUGCAUCUGUUACUGAGACCGAUCAGCAGCUCUUCAUUCGCCUAGUCCAUCGUCAAUAAUUAGAGAAGCCACGACAUACCGCGACAUACCGCGACAUACCGUAGUUCCCGGUGAAGCCCGAUCACUUAAUUCAUAACCCUUACUUUUAUGUCACCCUAUCACUGCAUCUGUUGCUGCGUUGUGUAUAUCACUGUGUAUUGUUGUUGCUUGCGCUAUAACGGGAGCAUUAAAAGUGUUAGUAUUUAAAA